ACAUUGAAAUUUUUUUUUCAAAAAGGGAGAUGGAUGGUCAAGUGAUUCCUGCUGGUACCGCUCAGCUGUGCUGAAGCCGGUGCCUGACACUCGGCAGGGACUCAGUAAAUACCUACGGAAAGAGGGGGAAGGAAGGAAAACAACCCUGGACAGAACACUGAUGUCAAAAUAUAAAAGAGUCUCUGUCUGGACCAUUGGAAUAUUUGAGAAGACAGCCCUUUCUGGUCCCAGGAGAUAGGGUAGGCAGAACAAUGAUCCUCCAAAGAUAACCAUGUCCUGAGCUCUGGACCCUAUGAAUAUGUUACCUUACAUGGCAAAAGGGACUUUGCAGAUGUGAUUACGUUAAGGGUUUUGAGGUGACAGAAUUCCCUGGAUGAUCUAGAUGGGCCCAGUCUCAUCACAACGGUCCUUAUUAGGAACAGAGGGAGCAGAAGAUUCGGAGGGAGAGAAGGAGAGGUGAUCACAGAAGCAGAGGUCAGAGAGAAGGAGGCUGAAGCCCUUCUGGAUUUGAAGAUGGAGGACGGGCCACAAGCCAAAGGGUGAAGGUGACCCCUGGACGCUGGAAAAUGCAAUGGGGCAAAUCUCCCCUAGAGCCUCCGGAAGAUACUCUGACCCCAGGAACUGUAAGGUAAUGCACCCCUGUUACUUCUGCCACAAAGCUCAUGAUUAUUUGUUACAGCAACAAUAGAAAUUAGAUUUCUAUCUUGCCUGCCAGGAGCCGAUGGAGCCAUUUUUGUGAUUUUACAACAUUGUUCUUUGACGUAGUUUUCUUCUAUGUAAUUAUUUUUGUAAACUUCAGAAGGUUAGUUGAGGUUCAUCAUACAGCUCAUCACAAUAAAAUUCCCAUCUUCUGCUUGUUUCCUGCCCAUCCAAAGCCUAGAUUCUAGAUUCAGACUGAAACUGUACUUUUGACAUUUCUUAUAUAAUAAUAAAUGACAGCUGUCUACCAUGGACAGCUUUGUUUUGACUUCAUUUUUUAGCACCCCUAGAAAGCAUUUUUCCUUUUCUACCAGUGUGUGAGGAGAUACCUACAUAUCCCCUGUAAAGACCUAUUAUUUAAUGUUAAAAAUCACUCACUUAGCACUAACCAUGUGCCAAACACUGUUUCAUAGGCAGAAAAUGCAGCAAUUAAUAAACUACAGAUACGUGCAUUUACACAGAUAAGCACUGGACAGAAAAAAGACCAAGGGGUCCAAAGAAAUACACAGUGGUACCUGUAAAUGUGCAAAGACAUUGGAAGGCUGGUCUUUACCGGGAAGGCUUUCACAAAGAAGAUAAAACUUCAUGUGGGCCCUCAUUUAUUCAGAUUUUUCUCAAGUUCAGGAAAACAUUAUGAGUAAGGAGUUGUGGUCAUUUAGGUACAAGGCAUAUUUUAGAAAUGACAUGGGGUCAUGAGAUGGUUAAAACACCGUGUGUGUAUGUGUGUGUGUGUGUGUGUGUGUGUGUGUGUGUGUUGAGAUCGGGGAGGGACCCAGCGCAAGAGCAGAACAUAUGAAAUACAUAAGAAAGGGUAGGAUAAAUUCUACUCUUAGUCUUAAAAGUCACAAUAAACAAUGCAGACCUCACUUUGUACAGAAUGAAAUUAAACAUUAGGGAACACUGAUGGCACACUGUUCUUCAGAUUUGUGUGAACUGAGAGCCUGACCUUGGAUGUUUCAAAGUACAGCAGUGCUAGCAGGGGAUGGCAGUUAAGUUCAGAAUUGAGACGAGAAACGUCGGUCAUCUUCUGUAUCGCCACAAUCACUCCUGCCAGGGCUGGGCAUGCACAGGUUCCAGCAUUCCCAAAGCCAGCCGCUGGAAAAGACUUCUGCUCCCAGUGCAAUCCCAUUUAGUUCUGGUGAUCCUUCCUGGAGUCACCGUCAGAGAGGUGUCAGACUGGAAGGGGAUCCUUGAGAUGACUGUUUACUCAGCCUGGGCUGUUUUUUCAAGGACCUGCCUAACAAGACAGGAGUAGCUGUAGCUCCUACUAGGUGUCCCUUCCUGGGUGUGUGAUGCAAAACAACAACUCCAGAUAUCAGGUCACAGAGAUCCAUUACCUCAUGAGGCAGAAUGAAAGCACACGAUACGGAGGAGAUGUGCAGAAAAAGUGGACACAGCACAGGAGGAAAGAGAGAAGAUACCGAAGACUGGCUAGUUCAUCUAGUUCAUAAGUUUUCCCAACAUCAGAGCUUAGGAAAUGUUUUUUUUUUUUUAAUUUUUUUUUUCUUCAACGUUUUUUAUUUAUUUUUGGGACAGAGAGAGACAGAGCAUGAA